rnacentral:misc_RNA from 1 species
UCCGAGUUGUCCCCGGCAGUCCUCUUAGAGUCCCCGGCAUUACCCGCUGGCAACUAAGAGCAGGGGUUGCGCUCGUUGCGGCACUUAAGCCAACACCUCACGGCACGAGCUGACGACAGCCAUGCAGCACCUGUGCUAGCCCCCGAAGGACACGGGCUUUCACCCGCUUUAACUAGCAUGUCAAGCCUAGGUAAGGUGGGGAUGACGUCGUAUCUCACUG